UUGGAGGGCAAGUCUGGUGCCAGCAGCCGCGGUAAUUCCAGCUCCAAUAGCGUAUAUUAAAGUUGUUGCAGUUAAAAAGCUCGUAGUUGAAUUUCGGGGUUAGUAGGUUGGUCAUGCCUCUGGUAUGUACUGGUCUCACUGAUUCCUCCUUCCUGAUGAACCGUAAUGCCAUUAAUUUGGUGUUGCGGGGAAUUUGGACUGUUACUUUGAAAAAAUUAGAGUGUUUAAAGCAAGCUAACGCUUGAAUACAUUAGCAUGGAAUAAUGAAAUAGGACGUUCGAUCCUACUUUGUUGGUUUCUAGGAUUGACGUAAUGAUUAAUAGGGAUAGUUGGGGGCAUUAGUAUUCAAUUGUCAGAGGUGGAAUUCUUGGAUUUAUUGAAGACUAACUACUGCGAAAGCAUUUGCCAAGGAUGUUUUCAUUAAUCAGGAACGAAAGUUAGGGGAUCGAAGACGAUCAGAUACCGUCGUAGUCUUAACCAUAAACUAUGCCGACUAGGGAUCGGACGGUGUUAUUUUUGACCCGUUCGGCACCUUACGGGAAAC
rnacentral:rRNA from 1 species